rnacentral:rRNA from 1 species
AUUGAACGCUGGCGGCAUGCUUUACACAUGCAAGUCGAACGGCAGCACAGGGAGCUUGCUCCUGGGUGGCGAGUGGCGAACGGGUGAGUAAUGUAUCGGAACGUGCCUGGUAGUGGGGGAUAACUACUCGAAAGAGUGGCUAAUACCGCAUGAGAUCUUUGGAUGAAAGCGGGGGACCUUCGGGCCUCGUGCUACUGGAGCGGCCGAUAUCAGAUUAGGUUGUUGGUGGGGUGAAGGCCUACCAAGCCUGCGAUCUGUAGCUGGUCUGAGAGGACGACCAGCCACACUGGGACUGAGACACGGCCCAGACUCCUACGGGAGGCAGCAGUGGGGAAUUUUGGACAAUGGGCGCAAGCCUGAUCCAGCAAUGCCGCGUGCAGGACGAAGGCCUUCGGGUUGUAAACUGCUUUUGUACAGAACGAAAAGUCUCUGGCUAAUAUCUAGAGAUCAUGACGGUACUGUAAGAAUAAGCACCGGCUAACUACGUG